AUUGAACGCUGGCGGCAGGCCUAACACAUGCAAGUCGAGCGGAUGAAAGGGGCUUGCUCCUGGAUUCAGCGGCGGACGGGUGAGUAAUACGCAGGAAUCUACCUAGUAGUGGGGGAUAACGUUUCGAAAGGGACGCUAAUACCGCAUACGUUCUGAGGAAGAAAGCAGGGGAUCGUAAGACCUUGCGCUAUUAAGAUGAGCUUGCGUCCGAUUAGCUAGUUGGUGGGGUAAAGGCCUACCAAGGCGACGAUCGGUAACUGGUCUGAGAGGAUGAUCAGUCACACUGGAACUGAGACACGGUCCAGACUCCUACGGGAGGCUGCAGUCGAGAAUCUUCCGCAAUGGGCGAAAGCCUGACGGAGCGACGCCGCGUGGAGGACGAAGGCCUUAGGGUUGUAAACUCCUGUCACCGAUUAUGAAUGGCAAUACGUGAAUAUCGUAUUGUUUGACGUAAGUCGGGGAGAAGCACCGGCUAACUCUGUGCCAGCAGCCG
rnacentral:rRNA from 1 species